rnacentral:rRNA from 1 species
GACGAACGCUGGCGGCGUGCUUAACACAUGCAAGUCGAACGGAAAGGCCCCCUUGUGGGGUACUCGAGUGGCGAACGGGUGAGUAACACGUGAGUAACCUACCCUUGACUUUGGGAUAACUUCAGGAAACUGGGGCUAAUACCGUAUAGGAGCUCCUGCUGCAUGGUGGGGGUUGGAAAGUUUCGGCGGUUGGGGAUGGACUCGCGGCUUAUCAGCUUGUUGGUGGGGUAGUGGCUCACCAAGGCUUUGACGGGUAGCCGGCCUGAGAGGGUGACCGGCCACAUUGGGACUGAGAUACGGCCCAGACUCCUACGGGAGGCAGCAGUGGGGAAUAUUGCACAAUGGGCGGAAGCCUGAUGCAGCAACGCCGCGUGCGGGAUGACGGCCUUCGGGUUGUAAACCGCUUUCGCCUGUGACGAAGCGUGAGUGACGGUAAUGGGUAAAGAAGCACCGGCUAACUACGUG